AAUGUUUUUUGCUCAGAUAAAGUGUUUGGACCAUUAUGCGUAAAUGAAACGGUUUAUGAAGGAGUGAAGAAUGUUGCUUUGUCUGCUUUGGGAGGCAUAAAUGCUACUAUAUUUGCAUAUGGCCAAACCAGCAAUGGGAAGACAUACACGAUGAGAGGAAUAACAGAGAAGGCUGUCAAUGACAUCUACCAGCAUAUAAUGAAUACACCAGAGAGAGAUUUUACCAUUAAAAUUUCGGGACUAGAAAUUUAUAAUGAGAAUGUUAGAGACCUGUUGAAUUCUGAAUCUUGCCGUAGUCUCAAGCUUCUAGAUGAUCCGGAGAAAGGUACUGUGGUUGAGAAGUUGGUGGAAGAAACAGCCAGCAAUGAUCCUUCUUGGGG